rnacentral:rRNA from 1 species
UACGUAGGGGGCAAGCGUUGUCCGGAUUUAUUGGGCGUAAAGAGCGUGUAGGCGGUGUUCCAAGUCUGGUGUGAAAUCUCCCGGCUCAACUGGGAGGGUGCGCCGGAAACUGGGAUGCUAGAGGAUGGGAGAGGUAAGCGGAAUUCCUGGUGUAGCGGUGAAAUGCGUAGAUAUCAGGAGGAACACCUGUGGUGUAGACAGCUUACUGGACCAUUUCUGACGCUGAGACACGAAAGCGUGGGUAGCAAACAGG